UUUCACCGUCCGUGUUUUGCUUUGUUUAAAUCAGUUUAGGCUAACUUUAAUGCUAAACACGUGAUUAUUGAUCAUCCAGCUAACCCGAGUUAAUACCAUUACACGAUCAACAAGGAAAGCCGUUAGUAUUGUUAAAUAGAGGGGAAAACAGCAUUUACAUGUUUGGACUGCAGUGUAAACAUUGCAAAUUUGCCCACAGUAGCAGAGAGGUCAUCUUGAAACACUACAGGCUUCGGCACUAUCAAGGGCGAUCCUGGCAGCAUCCUUGCUUGUAUACUGAUUGCAUCUGCACUUUUAAAACUUUAGGUUUUUUGCUUUAAAAACACAUUUGACAAGAUCACACAAACACACUGCAGUUACUGACCACAUUAGUUUUUCAUGUGAGUUAUGUGAUUUCAAAGAUGUUUGUCAGCCAUCCCAGUUUUUAAACCAUCUCAGAAAUCAUUUGAGGAGGCAUGACACAGUCAAUUGUCCUUUUAAAGGUUGUGAGCUGACAACAAAUGUUCUUUCAACUUUUAGUAACUCGGAAGUAUCUCGGAAGCAUAAAUUUAAAGGUUUUGAAGAUUUUAGUUCUUUUGUUACAUUGCAAUCUGGUUGUUUGGGAAGCAAUGAAGAGACAGGGUCUGAAGAGUCAGGAGAUUUUAUGCAGAAUCCGCAGUCAAAUUUUACUGAUGUCAGUUUUUAGUUUCCUGCAGUUCCUUCUGAACAUGAAACAAAUGUGUAUUUAGAGCCUGUAGAGUAUAGAGCUCUAGAGCACAAAAUUGCAUCAUUGAUCCUUUACAUGCAGACAAUUUUGCAUGCUUCAAAAAGUGCAAUUCAGGAUAUAUUAAGUUGGAUGUGUGAUAUUGUUUCGUUGUCUAGGUAUACAGCAAAACAAUCAAUCAGGGAUAUUCUGAGAAAGUAUGAAAGCCACAUUGAUGAGUCAUUGGCAGAAGAGCUUGCUGAAUUAUCAGCAGAAGUGCUCAAAACAAAUCCUGUUUUUACAGCUACUGCAAAGAAGGGUACUCUCUCAACAGAAUACAGAAGGUAUGCUUAUUUUAAAGAGCAUUUUCAAGUAAUUGAUCCUGUGGAGUACCGAUUUCAUAGACUACACCAAAAUAGUUUUGUGUAUGUCCCAGUGUUGAGGGUUCUUGAAGUGUUGCUAAACCGAACAGAUGUCUUGGAAAAAGCAGAAAGACCUAGAGCAGAAAGGUGUGUUUGUUGAAGCACUGAAUGCACAUCUCAGAGGAACGGUAUAUUGUGUAUGUGCUGACAAUCUUGGGGCUCACAGUCUUGCUGGCUUUCAAGAAAGCUUUCAGGCUGAAAGGCUGACUUGAUUUUGCUAAGUCAGCAAAGAUGACAUACAGACACAAUAUGCUAGUUGUUUUCAGCUUCGAACAAUUGAACAGCACAACUCCAUUACAAAUGAACCGAGGGACCACCAUGAGCUUCAGAGCAGACUGGGUGUAAAAAUAGAAUGUGUUCUCAGUAAGCAUCUUUCUUUCUUUCACCCAAUAACAGGGUUCCCGCCAGAUGUCCUACAUGACACUUUGGAGGGAAUUGUUCCAUUUGAGUUAUCAGUUUGCUUAAAAGAACUCAUCACAAAGAGACAUUUUACUCUUGAUAUUCUGAACAAAUGUAUUAAGUCCUUUUCUUACAAGGACUCAGACAGAGUAAACAGACCCAAAUUAAUUUCCCAGUCCAGUUUCUCAAAGAAAACCAUAGGUGGGAAUGGUCAUGAGAACUGGGCAUUACUACGCUUAUUACCAUUACUGAUUGGUAAUCUUGUACCCAAUUCUGAGCCUGCUUGGGAAAUUUUGAUGGACUUGAGAGAGAUAGUGGAGUUGGUCAUGUCUGCAAAGUUUUCAGAAGAAAUGCUAUGCUUUUUAGAACGAAAAAUUGUAGAACACCGACAACUGCUCAAAGACACAUUCCCAAACUUGAAAUUGCGCCCAAAACACCACUAUGUGGAGCAUUAUCGACUCCUGAUUCGCUGUUUUGGGCCAUUAGUUGAGCUUUGGACGUUCAGAUUCGAGGUGCAUUUGCAGAUGUGCAUUUGCAUGGAAUUCACUUCAGUGAAGGCAUGAUUUUGUCCUCAGGUCAAUGCAGUGGCUUGCCUAAUUUUUUCAGAAUACUCUGUGUACUUGUCAAUGCUAACAAGGUAGCCUUCCUUUUGCAAAAGGCGUUCGUCAUGGUACAUUGAGCACUACAGGUGUUACGAGUUUUCCGAAACAAGUGCAAUUGAAAUACUUGAGCCAGAGGAUCUACUGUAAAUGAUCCUCAUCCUCUCACAUCAUAUACAGUUCAGGGAAGGAACAUGAUUGCACUAAAGAGAUUCCUUCUCCAUUAAUUGUUUUUCACAUAGCCACACAAUGAUUUCCUGAUUUGAACUUUAACGUAACAAAGUAUGUCACAGGUUGAAGGAACUGUUCUCCGAAAUGUAAAUUACAUUUUAAACCUGUAUGACUUCCUAAUGCAGAAGACAAAAGCGGGUGUUUUAAAGUAAUAGUUCACCCAAAAAAUCCAGUAAUUCCAAGACCUGUAAGAUCUUUGUUGGUCUUUGGAACACCAAUUAAGAUAUUUUUAAUUAAAUCCGAGUGCUCUCUGACCUUCCUUAGACAGCAAGGGUCUUCAACAUUCAUGCACUUGAGUCGGUCUUCUUUAUAAAAGCACUAAGCCUCAAAGAAAUAGCUCAGGUGAGGCAGCGGGUUUCCAUGUGACAUCAGGGGUUAAACUGUGAUUUUAUGAAGCCAUAAGAAUACUUUUUUUGGUACUCUCCAAAAUGACACUAGGGUGAUGUGGAGGAGAAGAAUUGUUGAAUAAAGGUAUUUUUCACACAAAAUAUUCUUGCAGCAAAUUACCAUAGCAAAUUUUGAAAGUUUAAAUUUUUGAACUACCCCCUUUAAGUCAUUUAACAUGUUACCACAUAUAAAGCUUUGCUAUAUACUUAAUGUACUUUUAAUCAGAAUUUUGUUUUACAGAAUAUGCGGCUCCGUGUUGUGUUGGCCCCUGAUAAUAUUAGGAGGCUGGAUAUUUUGCAAAAUCUCACUUCGGUUGAACAUUUGAAAACAAUUAUUCAAGAAAGGCUUGAAAUAAAGGAUGAUUUUCUGAUUCAGUUUGAGGAUCCCGAGUUCGGAAAUGAACUCUGUAACUUGACCAAUAUAACAGAGCUUCCACCAGAAAGAGCAGUGCUGAAGAUCAUCCAGAAAGUACCUGAAGAAUCAGAACUAGAGACCUCGAUUUCCUCUUUAGACACUGCCAGUAUGUCCUCCCCAUCUGAUAGCUCAAACCAGAGUUUCCCCUUUGUGUCUGUGAGACAGCGUGAAAUGUCUUGGUGGCCAUUUCCUUUUCCGAUUCCCAAGUACUCUUAUGAUGUUGAGUUGCGGCUUGAGAAAGGGAAUGAUAAUUUUAAAGAAGAUGGAACACUGCUCACAGUACCAAGAGAAAUGAAAAUGGACAUCCUGGAUAGCAUAGCUCAGGCAAUUUUUUCAUUCAAAGCUUACCCAAACAAUCAAGAGUUGGAGUCUGUGUCUGCUGCUCUGAUUGAAAAGUAUCCAUUUCUGAAGGACCCAGGCUCAGGAACAGGUUAUCACAGCUGGACUAUGAGCAUCAAAUAUAAGGUUGGGAACUACCGCCAGAAACUACGAACGGCAGGUUGCUCUGAAGUUACUGUGAACCAAAAAAAGUGAACAAUGACUCUAGAUGUUUAAAGAAAGCAAAGAGAUGUGAGGUAAACUUCCUCCCAGACAACCCAGUAGGGCAGACAGAUUGUUCCUUACAGAAGGAAAAAUAUGCACUACAAGAGGAAAUGAAGAAACAUUUCAGCAUGGCAAUUGUUGACUCCAAAAUGGAACUGAGAUUCUCUCUGAGAAGGAAGGAGAUAGUGAAGAACCUCUUGUGGCUGAUGUCCUAAAACAAUGGCCAGCAUUGUUUUUGGAAGAUCAGGUCUGUUUUAAGGUCUGUGCCGAGUUUUACAGAAUUACACAAACCAACCUGAAGAGAGUACCUUUUUGUCUUCUUUGGAUGAAUAUGCACCAAAGAUGAUCAUGUUGUACCGAUCACGUAGUGGAGCCUAUGGAGAUGAAAUGAAGACCCUCCUAGACCAACUUGAUCAAGCUUCUGAUGUGCUUGCUCAAAGAAAAGCUAAAGCUCUCAAAGGUCUACCUUUGUUUAUGAGGGAAAAGUCUGGAAACUUCCUGAAGACUUGCCUGUCAGUAAAACUGGAAAUCAGAUGUACAUUUAUAUUUCUACUACUAUGGCAUGGCUUGAUGCUCAGGCUUACUGUAGACAGCAUUACACAGACUCGGCCAUCUUGAAAGAACCACCUGAAGACUGAAGACCUGAAGUUAUAAUGGGAAUGAUCUCAGGCUGGACUAGGCUGGACUUAGUUUGGUUCAGAGACUCCUGGAAGUGGACAGACCAAACAAAUUUCUCUACCAUCAGCUGGUUGACUGGAAAACAUCAUAAUGCCCUGGGGAAUGAAAACUGUGGUUAUAUAAAUAACGGUCAGGCUGCUGAUGCUCAAUGCUCAGACAUAAUGCCUUUCUUCUGUUACUCAGAUUUAACGUUACAACAAACACUAUGAGUAAAGGUUUGAUACAAAGAGAUGUGAAUGAUCCUGCGAUGAUGAAAGCCAUCUUGGAGCAGGUUGGUCUUAUCCUCCACAAGACUUAUAAUGUACAUUUCCCAGUAUUCAUCAAACUCUGACACACACACACUGUAUUGUAAUUAGAUUCUGUCUGUUGUAUUCAGUUUCUGUAUCAUUUCCUACAGGCGAGUCUCUAUCCUGCAUUAUUUAGCAAUAAAAGUUAUUUAAACAAUCAGAUGGAGUUGUUUCACAAGGUGAAGGAAGAAAAAAUACCCAAAUAGAGAAUAAAAGUGUGACCUCUAAAUCUGUUAAUUUGAAUUUAUCUUUAGAUUUCUGCUAAUUUUGGUUUAUCUGUUUAGCUGUUACAUUGCACUAAUGUACAUUGGCAUAACAAGUAUAAUGUAUGAUGUUAACCAUUCCACCUGAGGGCCCCCCUGGGGAAAGGUGGGGCAGAAAUUAUACAUCCUUUCUACAAGCAUACAAACCCUGAUUAUAUCUACACAUGAAGCAUACCAGAAAAAUGGGAAGAAACUCAGCUAUAUGACUACAACACCGUUUUCAGUUAAACAAAACACAAUUCCACAAAAAAACAGACAGAAAAUAAUUGUAAACAUUGCAUACAUAACAAAACUGCCCCAAUCAUAUCAGUCAUUACACAAUACAAACACAGACUUGGUUGAAUAAAAUUACUAGAAUAAAAAAACACUAAACAUUCAUACAUCCAUAACACCAAAUUUGCUCUUACCUUUGGUGUUUCAGCAUUAUAAAUGAUUUUCCAAUACGAAACUACACUUAAUUCUUCUAAUACCAUGUCUGUGUCCCUAAAAAACUGUUGUUUAUUGGGUCUACUCUUCUCUGUGUCUGAAACAAGGAAGAUUGGCCAUCAUUCCUGACACUAACUUUUCUGCAAAAAUUUCAAGCAAGAGGCUCAAAAAUUAAACUAAGGUUGAACAGAUCUUUUUCUAUAACUAAUAUACUAUAAGGGAUGAAUAUUAAUACCUGGCUUUAGAUUUUAUUAUCAUUAAACACUAAUGUAAAAAGUUCUUAUAACACCUUUGUUUUACCUUUGAAUUUCUCCUGAUAACAUCAGAUGUAAUUCCUGUAUAUCUGUACAUUAUAAUAAGGGAUGUAUGCUUUAGAGGAGAAGCAGAGAUUCAGAAGGCAGCAACUCUUUGGAAAACAUCUAGGCUGUGAGCAGUUCUUACCACAUAUAUUUAGUCAUUAUAUUUAUCAGAGUUGUAGGAUACUUUCGAACUUAUGCACAUAUUUUGCUAUUUAACUCUUUUUUUAUAUUUCUCACUGUGUUGCAAAAAAGAUUUGUAAAAGUAUUUGUGAUAUAUUCUGAUUAUAUCUUGGUAUGCUCUGUACUUAAUUUGUGAUGUCUUUUGUCUAUGACCUCAUCUUAUGACCAUGAUAUUCUUUGUUCUACUUGAAUGAGCAUGGACCAAUUACAGAGACUCCAUCGUUAAACCUACGUGUACAGAAGUCUGUCGCCGCCUCCUGUUGACGCUUAUGAUACCCAAUGUUAAAGCCUUUUGUUAUUCAUGGAUAACACCUUUUGUUGUACAUAGAUUACACUAAAAACCACACUAUUGCUUUGUCUAAAUAAACCUUUAAAUUCA